AAGGGGAGCAAUCCCUGAGUAAAGUGGCGACCGGGUGAGUAACACGUGACUAACCUACCUUCGAGUGGGGGAUAACUCCGGGAAACCGGGGCUAAUACCGCAUAACAUCUUUGGAUCGGAAGAACUGGAGAUCAAAGGAGCAAUUCGCUUGAUGAGGGAGUCGCGGCUGAUUAGCUUGUUGGCGGGGUAAUGGCCCACCAAGGCGAUGAUCGGUAUCCGGCCUGAGAGGGCGCACGGACACACUGGAACUGAAACACGGUCCAGACUCCUACGGGAGGCAGCAGUGGGGAAUUUUGCGCAAUGGGGGAAACCCUGACGCAGCAACGCCGCGUGGAGGAUGAAGUCCCUUGGG
rnacentral:rRNA from 1 species